CAGGUGGUCAGGUAGAGAAUACUCAGGCGCUUGAGAGAACUCGGGUGAAGGAACUAGGCAAAAUGGUGCCGUAACUUCGGGAGAAGGCACGCUGGCGCUAGGUGAAGUGGUUUACCCAUGGAGCUGAAGCCAGUCGCAGAUACCAGCUGGCUGCAACUGUUUAUUAAAAACACAGCACUGUGCAAACACGAAAGUGGACGUAUACGGUGUGACGCCUGCCCGGUGCUGGAAGGUUAAUUGAUGGGGUUAUCCGUAAGGAGAAGCUCUUGAUCGAAGCCCCAGUAAACGGCGGCCGUAACUAUAACGGUCCUAAGGUAGCGAAAUUCCUUGUCGGGUAAGUUCCGACCUGCACGAAUGGCGUAAUGAUGGCCAGGCUGUCUCCACCCGAGACUCAGUGAAAUUGAACUCGCUGUGAAGAUGCAGUGUACCCGCGGCAAGACGGAAAGACCCCGUGAACCUUUACUAUAGCUUGACACUGAACAUUGAGCCUUGAUGUGUAGGAUAGGUGGGAGGCUUUGAAGUGUGGACGCCAGUCUGCAUGGAGCCAACCUUGAAAUACCACCCUUUAAUGUUUGAUGUUCUAACGUUGCCCCGUUAUCCGGGGUGCGGACAGUGUCUGGUGGGUAGUUUGACUGGGGCGGUCUCCUCCCAAAGAGUAACGGAGGAGCACGAAGGUUGGCUAAGCAUGGUCGGACAUCAUGCGGUUAGUGCAAAGGCAUAAGCCAGCUUGACUGCGAGAGUGACGGCUCGAGCAGGUACGAAAGUAGGUCUUAGUGAUCCGGUGGUUCUGAAUGGAAGGGCCAUCGCUCAACGGAUAAAAGGUACUCCGGGGAUAACAGGCUGAUACCGCCCAAGAGUUCAUAUCGACGGCGGUGUUUGGCACCUCGAUGUCGGCUCAUCACAUCCUGGGGCUGAAGUAGGUCCCAAGGGUACGGCUGUUCGCCGUUUAAAGUGGUACGCGAGCUGGGUUUAGAACGUCGUGAGACAGUUCGGUCCCUAUCUGCCGUGGGCGUUGGAAGAUUGAAAGGGGCUGCUCCUAGUACGAGAGGACCGGAGUGGACGCACCACUGGUGUUCGGGUUGUCAUGCCAAUGGCAUUGCCCGGUAGCUAAGUGCGGAAGAGAUAACCGCUGAAAGCAUCUAAGCGGGAAACUUGCCUUGAGAUGAGUCUUCCCUGACCCUUUAAGGGUCCUAAAGGAACGUUUAAGACUAAGACGUUGAUAGGUUGGGUGUGUAAGCAUAGCGAUAUGUUGAGCUAACCAAUACUAAUGAACCGUGAGGCUUAACCUG
rnacentral:rRNA from 1 species